GUCACUGAUUAGCACCAGUUUAAAGAUUUUAAGUCAUUUUAAUAAUUGGUUUGCACCUCUGGCCAUCGGACUCUCCGUAGGGCUGGGACACUUCACCGGGCCAGGGGAGGCCAGCAGUGUUUUCCCCUGAUAGGGGUUUACAGGUCCGCUACACAGGAUGCAGUAUGAUUCCAGCUCGAUCCUUUGGGCCGGCGGUUAUAAUGCAGUCUUUUGAUGAUCAUUGGGUAUUUUGCUGG